rnacentral:rRNA from 1 species
AUUGAACGCUGGCGGCAGGCCUAACACAUGCAAGUCGAGCGGAGCGGCGGCCGGGUGAGUAAUGCAUAGGAAUCUGCCUGGUAGUGGGGGAUAACGUCCGGAAACGGGAGCUAAUACCGCAUACUAUCAGCAGAGGCUAGGUCGGUUUGGCUUAGUGGUGGGGUAAAGGCCUACCAAGGCGACGAUCAGUACCCGGUCUGAGAGGAUGAUCAGUCACACUGGAACUAGGACACGGUCCAGACUCCGACGGGAGGCAGCAGUGGGGAAUAUUGGACAAUGGGCGAAAGCCUGAUCCAGCCAUGCCGCGUGGGUGAAGAAGGUCUUCGGAUUGUAAAGCACUUUAAGUUGGGAGGCGUUACCAACAGAAUAAGCACCGGCUAACUUCGUGCCAGCAGCCGCGGUAAUUC